rnacentral:misc_RNA from 1 species
UCCGGCUUAACGCCGGCAGUCUCACUAGAGUCCUCAGCAUUACCUGGUAGCAACUAAUGAUAGGGGUUUCGCUCGUUAAGGGACUUAACCCGACACUUCACAGCACGAGCUGACGACAGCCAUGCAGCACCUGUGCAUGUUCCACCCGAGGGUGUGGCUCCUGUUUCCAGGAGUUAAUCCAUGCAUGUCAAACCCAGGAUAAGGUUCUUCGCGUUGCCUCGAAUUAAGCCACAUGCUCCACCGCUUGUGUGAGCCCCCGUCAAUUCCUUUGAGUUUUAAUCUUGCGACCGUACUCCCCAGGCGGUGCACUUAUCGAUUUCUUUUCGGCCCCGACGGCGUCAAAACCUCCAGGACCUAGUGCACAUCGUUUAGGGCGUGGACUAC